rnacentral:rRNA from 1 species
AGAGUUUGAUCCUGGCUCAGGAUGAACGCUAGCGGCAGGCCUAACACAUGCAAGUCGAGGGGUAGCAGGGUAGCAAUAUCGCUGACGACCGGCGCACGGGUGAGUAACGCGUAUGCAACCUACCUUUAACUGGGGAAUAGCUUCGAGAAAUCGGAAUUAAUACUCCAUAAUAUCAAAGUAUCGCAUGGUAUUAUGAUUAAAACUCCGGUGGUUACAGAUGGGCAUGCGUGUCAUUAGCUAGUUGGUAAGGUAACGGCUUACCAAGGCUACGAUGACUAGGGGUUCUGAGAGGAUGACCCCCCACACUGGUACUGAGACACGGACCAGACUCCUACGGGAGGCAGCAGUGAGGAAUAUUGGUCAAUGGCCGGAAGGCUGAACCAGCCAUCCCGCGUGCAGGAUGACGGCCCUAUGGGUUGUAAACUGCUUUUGUACCUGAAGAAUAGGCCCAACGAGUUGGGAUUUGCCGGUAGUGUAUGAAUAAGCAUCGGCUAACUCCGUGCCAGCAGCCGCGGUAAUACGGAGGAUGCGAGCGUUAUCCGGAUUCAUUGGGUUUAAAGGGUGCGCAGGUGGGAAAAUAAGUCAGUGGUGAAAUACUGCCGCUUAACGGUAGAAUUGCCAUUGAUACUGAAAAGCUUGAGUACAAUUGAGGUAAGCGGAAUGUGUAGUGUAGCGGUGAAAUGCUUAGAUAUUACACAGAACACCGAUUGCGAAGGCAGCUUACUAAACUGAUACUGACGCUGAUGCACGAAAGCGUGGGGAGCGAACAGGAUUAGAUACCCUGGUAGUCCACGCCGUAAACGAUGCUCACUCGCUGUAUGCGAUACACAGUAUGCGGCCAAGCGAAAGCAUUAAGUGAGCCACCUGGGGAGUACGAUCGCAAGGUUGAAACUCAAAGGAAUUGACGGGGGCCCGCACAAGCGGAGGAACAUGUGGUUUAAUUCGAUGAUACGCGAGGAACCUUACCUGGGCUUAAAUGUAGAGCGACAGAUUGUGAAAGCAGGCUUUCUUCGGACGAUCUACAAGGUGCUGCAUGGCUGUCGUCAGCUCGUGCCGUGAGGUGUCGGGUUAAGUCCCGUAACGAGCGCAACCCCUAUCCUUAGUUACCAUCAUAUACAGGUGGGCACUCUAAAGAGACUGCCGGUGAUAAACCGGAGGAAGGUGGGGAUGACGUCAAAUCAGCACGGCCUUUAUGACCUGGGCGACACACGUACUACAAUGGCAUAUACAAAGGGUUGCAAAGCGGCAGGUGGAUGCGAAUCUUUAAAAUCGGUCUCAGUUCGGAUCGGAGUCUGCAACUCGACUCCGUGAAGUCGGAUUCGCUAGUAAUCGCGCAUCAGCCAUGGCGCGGUGAAUACGUUCCCGGGUCUUGUACUCACCGCCCGUCAAGCCAUGGAAGUUGGGGGUGCCUAAAGUUCGUGACCGCAAGGAGCGACCUAGGGUAAAACCAAUGACUGGGGCUAAGUCGUAACAAGGUAACC